UUUAAAUGCAAGAAUGAGUUUUCGUGUCCAAUUUUAAUCGUUCGUCUAAUUUAAAAUUUUUUAUAAUUACUAUCUUUGUUGUUAUGAGAUAAUAAAACAUAAAUAAUACUCUAUGUGUGGCUUAUAUUUUUAAUUUUUUUAAAAAAUUACAAAUAAAACGAACGAUCAACUGAGUACGCAAAACAUAACUGCACGACAG
rfam:Oryza sativa Japonica Group DNA, chromosome 10, cultivar: Nipponbare, complete sequence.